rnacentral:rRNA from 1 species
GGCGAACGCUGGCGGCGUGCUUAACACAUGCAAGUCGAACGGAAAGGCCCUGCUUUUGUGGGGUGCUCGAGUGGCGAACGGGUGAGUAACACGUGAGUAACCUGCCCUUGACUUUGGGAUAACUUCAGGAAACUGGGGCUAAUACCGGAUAGGAGCUCCUGCUGCAUGGUGGGGGUUGGAAAGUUUCGGCGGUUGGGGAUGGACUCGCGGCUUAUCAGCUUGUUGGUGGGGUAGUGGCUUACCAAGGCUUUGACGGGUAGCCGGCCUGAGAGGGUGACCGGCCACAUUGGGACUGAGAUACGGCCCAGACUCCUACGGGAGGCAGCAGUGGGGAAUAUUGCACAAUGGGCGGAAGCCUGAUGCAGCAACGCCGCGUGCGGGAUAACGGCCUUCGGGUUGUAAACCGCUUUCGCCUGUGACGAAGCGUGAGUGACGGUAAUGGGUAAAGAAGCACCGGCUAACUACGUG